CAAUCAGGCGCUCCGUGGGCGUGGUUACAGCGCAGAUUCUCCGGCGGAGGAGGGAGGAUCAUCCGCGGCGUCUCGCGUUUAAACCGAGCGCGAGGACAUGGGUGCGCAGCCGUGAUUUAUCCCACAACGCGUUUACCGAGCGCGCGCGCACACCGACUGUCACCUGCUGUCACUAACCAGACAGUGAUUUUUAAAGCAAGCUUAAAAUAAUACAUAAAACAUUGUCAUUUCUCACUUUGCCGUGUUCGGGACCGAGGUGAAUCAUGGACCAGGACAAGUACCUGCCCGAGCUUCUGGCUGAGAAAGAAAGCUUGGAUCCGUCGUUCGUGCACGCGAUGCGCCUUCUGGCUGAAGAAAUCGAAAAGUACGAAGGGGACGAGCUCAGGAAAGACGGCGAGGUGAAGAAAUACCUGGAUGUCAUCAGCAACAAAAACAUCAAGCUGUCAGAGAGAGUGCUUAUUCCUGUGCAGCAAUACCCGAAGUUUAAUUUUGUUGGGAAACUGCUGGGGCCCCGGGGCAAUUCCAUGAAAAGAUUACAAGAGGAAACCGGAGCGAAGAUGUCCAUCCUUGGCAAGGGCUCAAUGAGAGAUAAAGACAAGGAAGAAGAGCUGAGGAAAAGUGGGGAGGCAAAAUAUGCCCAUUUGAACAACGAUCUUCAUGUUUUAAUUGAAGUCUUCGCACCACCCGGAGAGGCGUAUUCCCGCAUGAGCCAUGCCUUGGAGGAAAUAAAAAAAUUCCUGGUUCCUGAUUACAAUGAUGAGAUCAGACAAGAGCAGCUGCGUGAGCUGUCCUACCUAAACGGCUCUGAUGACCCAAGCAGAGGAAGAAGUGUCAGAGGACGUGGCAUACGGCUCACCUCCACAACUACUACACGGGGUCGAGGAGGAGCAGUGCCACCUCCUCCACCAGGCCGAGGAGCCGUAGUGCCCAGGGGAACUGUGGGAACACGUGCGUCUCUGCCCACUACCAUGCUAACUAGAGGAGUGUCAACACCACGGGCCAGAGGAACAGCAGGGAAUCCUGGAUACAGAGCACCUCUGCUGCAGGCCACACACAAAAGCUAUGAUGACUAUGGUUAUGAUGAUGGAUAUGAUGGGGAAUAUGACGAACAGGGUUAUGAGGCCUAUGAUGAUGGUUACAGCAAUCAGUCCAAAAGCGGUUCAGAAUAUUACGAAUACGGCCAUGGAACCAAUGACGAUACCUACAACAAUUACGCUGAAGAGGAGUGGACUCAGCCGCGGCCGAGCCUCAAAGCUCCAACUGCAAGACUUUCACGAGGGGGCUACAGAGAUCACCCCUAUGGUAGAUUCUAAAGGUGCUUCACAUCAGUGAUCUCCCCUACCUGGCAUCUUUAUGUAAUAAUCUAAAAAAAACUAACAAAAAAAAUUAUAACAUAAAAAAAAUGUAUUAGGUCAAAAUCUAACCCUAACCAAGAAGCGAGAGACUGCAUACAGCAUAUGGUUUUGAUAAUUUAUUCAUACAUCUAAGAAACACAAACAGAUCUUACAUUAAACAACAAAAAAUAGACUUCCAUUUGAAUGCUGCUUCCCUUUAGUUGUCUAUUGUUUGCUCCCCCGAACCUAAAGCAUGGAGUUACGUACAAAAUGAGGCUUCCUUGUUCUUGGCUACCAUUUCACCAAGGCAACCGUUGAGUGUUAGACCCUUCCCCCCUUCCCCUCCCCCCCAUAUUGUACAUAACAUCUUUCUUAAUACGUCUUGAUUUGAUGACGGUAAAUACUGAGUUUGUAUAUUUUGAUUUUGAUAUCGGUACUGGGAUUGAAAGCAAUCAGCUAUGUAUGUAGCUACCUACGAGUGAUCUGCUGUGUGUUUAGCCUGUGUUUGUACAUAAAUAUGUAAUAAAAAGGACAUAAAUCACCUUGUGUAAUCUUCUCUAAAUAGGUGGCCAUAAUUGUUACUUUUUUUUCUUGCCAUAAUUUGUUAAUAGAGCAUCAUUUUCUUCUUUUUUGGUAAAAUUAGAUAAGCACAUACAUGUUUUUAAGUAAUAAAUGCCUGUUUUAGUUCAGGAAAUUGCUAAUAUGUUCUUUGUUUAUUUUAUACUUAAAGAACAGCAGCAAAAAAGUAACUUUAGACAAGUUGUGAAGACAUUUUGUGUAACAAUAGAUAAGCAUUAAUACGAUUACAACUUUGUUAAAUAAUUUUAACUCUAGUUCUAAAUUGUUCAUUGAAUAUUGACUCGUCAUUUAAAUGUUUAAGAUGUUAAUGGAAACCAACUGUUUAGAUCAAUAAACUGACUUUUUUAAAACAUAUCCUUUAAGCUUGAACUUAUUAAACCAAAACUCUGACUUGUUUGCACUAGCGUGACUGUGAAUGAUUGGGAGAUUGAGGAGGUAAGAACAGUAAGAUUGUCUAAAUGCCUUCAGUCAUUGGUGUUAGUCAGUAUAACCCCAGUAUGUGAAUAUGGCAGAUAUUCACAAUGUUUCAUCACUCAUUCGAGUGAAUGGGAUACAUUUAAACUGCUAUGUCUCUUUUACCUUUAUUCUUAUUCCAUUGAACAUCAGAAAGCUGCAUUUGUGUUGUAAUACCAAUGCUUUUAAAUAUCAGCUAUUGAAAGUCACUACCUUUUAGAGUCCUGAACUUCCUUCUGUGACUGUUAGAGCUGAAUGCCGACGCGUAUUAAGAGACUGAAAGGAUGACUAAACAUUAAGCAGGUCUCUUUCCAAUGAGCCGAGAUACAGAAAUCAACAGAAGAGAUUCACUGCAGUGUGUAUAAAGGACUGAGGGCUGAUAAAACCACAGCAGAGAAGUAAUCUCACCUGCUAGAUGUGAUAAUCAGCUCCACUCA